AGCAGCCGCGGUAAUUCCAGCUCCAAUAGCGUAUAUUAAAGUUGUUGCAGUUAAAAAGCUCGUAGUUGAAUUUCGGGGUCUGUCCAUUGGUCGGGCUUUACGGUCCGUACUGGUGUGAUAGGUUCCUACCUUCUGAAUAACCGGCAUGCCAUUCAGUUGGUGCGUCGGGGAAGCAGAGCUAUUACCUUGAAAAAAUUAGAGUGCUUAAAGCAGGCUAUUGCUUGAAUAGAUUAGCAUGGAAUAAUAAAAUAGGACGGCAUGGUUCUAUUUUGUUGGUUUCUAGGAUCACCGUAAUGAUUAAUAGGGAUAGUUGGGGGCAUUAGCAUUCAAUUGUCAGAGGUGAAAUUCUUGGAUUUAUUGAAGACUAACUUCUGCGAAAGCAUUUGCCAAGGAUGUUUUCAUUAAUCAAGAACGAAAGUUAGGGGAUCGAAGACGAUCAGAUACCGUCGUAGUCUUAACCAUAAACUAUGCCGACUAGGGAUCGGACGAUGUUAAUUUUUUAAUGACUCGUUCGGCGCCU
rnacentral:rRNA from 1 species